AAACAAUCAAUUGAAGAAGCUGGGUGCCAAAUAAUGCCAGAAACAGGAGAUAAUUGUCGGGAUAACUGCCGACAAGAUGAUGCUGAAUGACUAUUUGUUUCCUAGAUGUCAACUCGCUACAGAAGCCGAAUGGAUUGGGGUAGAUGCAAGUUUGCACCAAGCGAUUCGGACAUCCACUAGCGCUGCGGAACAUCCACUGGCGCUUAUGAAAUGCUCCAUGACCUCCAUGAUGUUAUGCUCGCACAUAUAUCAAGGCUGUUGCUCAUCAUGUAACCAAAUCAGGGGGUUCUGUCCGGUGCUUAUUUGCUUAGUAUUCGGCUGCCAGUGAUUCAACAUCCGGAGGAUUUUUUACGCAAUAGAAUGACGUCGCGCUGGACCACCAGUGUCCGGAAUUACCGCCGAGACAGCCGCUGGGGAUAUUUUGACUGAUGGUGAACGAACCAGGACGAAAGAGGCUUUUGAUACGCGAUGCGGCAAGACAAAAAAGGGAAACAAAAAAGCCAGUCUGGGACACGUAUUUUUACUAUACUUUUAAAAUAUGAUCGAAUAAAAAGUUAUUCCAUGCAUCACAUUUAAAUGAAUCCCUUGUUUUAAUAUUACAGUGAUUACACUAAAUUGAAAUUAAAUUCCUUUUUGUUGGUCAACAAGAGUAAAAAAUACCCAUUAUCCAGAAUAUUUCAUUUUGAAUAAUGAG